rnacentral:rRNA from 1 species
GACAGAGGUGCCGAGCGUUAGGCGGAAUCACUGGGCUUAAAGCGUGUGUAGGCGGAUGCCUAAGUACCUUGUGAAAUCCCACGGCUCAACCGUGGAACUGCUUGGUAUACUGGGUGUCUUGAGCUAUCUAGGGGCAACUGGAACAAACGGUGGAGCGGUGAAAUGCGUAGAUAUCGUUUGGAACGCCAAUGGUGAAAACAGGUAGCUGGGGAUGUGCUGACGCUGAGACACGAAAGCCAGGGGAGCGAACGGG